rnacentral:rRNA from 1 species
UACGUAGGGGCUAGCGUUGUCCGGAUUUAUUGGGCGUAAAGAGCUCGUAGGUGGUUCGGUUAGUCGGAUGUGAAAUCUCCAGGCUCAACCUGGAGGGUCAUUCGAUACUGCCGUGACUAGAGUUCGGUAGAGGAGUGUGGAAUUCCUGGUGGAGCGGUGAAAUGCGCAGAUAUCGGGAGGAACACCAAUGGCGAAGGCAGCUCGCUGGGACGUUACUGACGCUGAGACGCGAAAGCGUGGGGAGCAAACAGG